UUUCAGACCUCAAAUAAUGCAAAGAAAACAAGUUCACAUUCAUUUAGAAACAACAAUACUAACGUUUUAACUCAGGAAGAGUUCAGAAAUCAAUAUUUGAUGGAAUAACUAUGAGGUUUUCAUUGGGAUUCAGUGCAGUGGGCUCUUAAUUUUUUUCCAGAGUUUUAUAUGCAAAUGUUUUUAAAACAUAAUUUUC